GACGAACGCUGGCGGCGGGCUUAACACAUGCAAGUCGAACGGAAAGGCCCUGCUUUUGUGGGGUGCUCGAGUGGCGAUCGGGUGAGUAACACGUGUGUAACCUGCCCUUGAUUUUGGGAUAACUUCAGGAAACUGAGGCUAAUACCGUAUAGGAUCUCCUGUUGCAGGGUGGGGGUGGGAUAUUUGCGGCUGGCGGGGAUGGAUGCGCGGCUUAUCAGCUAGUUGGUUGGGUAGUGGCUUACCAAGGGUUUGACGGGUAGCCGGCAUGAGAGGGUGACCGGCGUCAUUAGGCCUGAGAUACGGAGCAGAGUGAUACAGGAGACAACAGUGGGGAAUAUUGCACAAUCGGAGGAAGUGUGAUGAAGAAGCGCUCGGUGUGGGAUGACGGCCUUCGGGUGAUGAACAGCAUUCGGUUAUGACGACGCGUGACUGACGGUAAUGAAAAAAGAAGCACCGGCUAACUACGUG
rnacentral:rRNA from 1 species